GCACCCGUAGCUCAGCUGGAUAGAGUACCAUCCUCCGAAGGUGGAGGCCAUACGUUCGAAUCGUGUCGGGUGCGCCA
rnacentral:tRNA from 1 species